CAGCAGCCGCGGGAAUACGGAGGGCGCGAGCGUUACCCGGAUUUACUGGGCGUAAAGGGCGUGUAGGCGGCCUGGGGCGUCCCAUGUGAAAGGCCACGGCUCAACCGUGGAGGAGCGUGGGAUACGCUCAGGCUAGAGGGUGGGAGAGGGUGGUGGAAUUCCCGGAGUAGCGGUGAAAUGCGCAGAUACCGGGAGGAACGCCGAUGGCGAAGGCAGCCACCUGGUCCACUUCUGACGCUGAGGCGCGAAAGCGUGGGGAGCAAACCGGAUUAGAUACCCGGGUAGUCCCUGUCUCUUAUAC
rnacentral:rRNA from 1 species